rnacentral:rRNA from 1 species
GACGAACGCUGGCGGCGUGCUUAACACAUGCAAGUCGAGCGGAAAGGCCCUUCGGGGUACUCGAGCGGCGAACGGGUGAGUAACACGUGAGUAAUCUGCCCUUGGCUUUGGGAUAACUACCGGAAACGGUGGCUAAUACCGGAUACGACAACCGUCUGCAUGGGCUGGUUGUGGAAAGUUUUUUCGGCCAGGGAUGUGCUCGCGGCCUAUCAGCUUGUUGGGGGGGUAAUGGCCUACCAAGGCUUCGACGGGUAGCCGGCCUGAGAGGGUGACCGGCCACACUGGGACUGAGACACGGCCCAGACUCCUACGGGAGGCAGCAGUGGGGAAUAUUGGACAAUGGGCGGAAGCCUGAUCCAGCAACGCCGCGUGAGGGAUGACGGCCUUCGGGUUGUAAACCUCUUUCAGUACCGACGAAGCGCCGAUGAUGGUGGUGACGGUAGGUACAGAAGAAGCACCGGCCAACUACGUG